CCUACGGGAGGCAGCAGUGAGGAAUAUUGGUCAAUGGACGAGAGUCUGAACCAGCCAAGUAGCGUGCAGGAUGACUGCCCUAUGGGUUGUAAACUUCUUUUAUAUGGGAAUAAACUGUUCCACGCGUGGGUUUUUGUAUGUAUCAUAUGAAUAAUGAUCGGCUAACUCCGUGCCAGCAGCCGCGGUAAUACGGAGGAUCCGAGCGUUAUCCGGAUUUAUUGGGUUUAAAGGGAGCGUAGGUGGGUGGUUAAGUCAGUUGUGAAAGUGUGCGGCUCAACCGUAGAAUUGCAGGUGAUACUGUCAGUCUUGAGUACAGUAGAGGUAGGCGGAAUGUGUGGUGUAGCGGUGAAAUGCUUAGAGAUCACAAAGAACUCCGAUUGCGAAGGCAGCUCACUGGACUGCAACUGACACUGAGGCUCGAAAGUGUGGGUAGCAAACAGGAUUAGAUACCCCAGUAGUC
rnacentral:rRNA from 1 species